rnacentral:rRNA from 1 species
AACGAACGCUGGCGGCGUGCUUAACACAUGCAAGUCGAACGGAACGUCCGGGCUUAGUUGCGCUCCUCGAGUUACCAACUGGUGACUAGCACUUAGGUACCCUAUCACUCCCCUAAGGGUAACUUCAUGCCGCUGGGUCUCUUACGGCCUAAGAGUUAUCGCCGUUGGAUGGGCCCGCGUUGGAUUCGCUAGUUGGUAGGGUAAUAGCCUACCAAGGCGUCGAUGCAUAGCUGGUCUGGGAGGAUGGUCAGCCACACUAGGGGUGCGACACGGCCCAGACUCCUACGGGAGGCAGCAGUGGGGAAUAUUGGACAAGGGGCGAAAGCCUGAUCCAGCAAUGCCGCGUGAGUGAUGAAGGCCUUAGGGUUGUAAAGCUCUUUUACCCGGGAUGAUAAUGACAGUACCGGGAGAAUAAGCUCCGGCUAACUCCGUG